rnacentral:lncRNA from 1 species
ACUAACAGUGAGAAGCCUCAGCACAGAGUUGCACAGAGAGACUGCCUCUGCAUUCAUGACACUGACAGCACAGACACCAUAACUCCAGCCAUGACAGGCUCUGCACACAGGGACCCAGGAAGUGAAGGGCACUGCAGACCAUACCUCUGACAGUGACAGACCCCGAACAUCCACAGAGACAGUAACAUCAGCACUGACAGGCUCAGCAAACAGAGAAAUAGGGAGGAAUGGGCUCUGUCGACAUCAUAACACCAACAGACACAGCGACAAGUACUGCAAACAGUGACACAAACAGUACUAGCCUCUCCCAAUAAUACCAAGCUCUGCAAAUAAAACUAAACUCCACAGAAUGCAGCAAACAGGCAUGAGGGCUGGAAGAGGAGAAAACACAACUGGCUAGGAGAAGG